GACGAACGCUGGCGGCGUGCUUAACACAUGCAAGUCGAACGGAAAGGCCCUGCUUUUGUGGGGUGCUCGAGUGGCGAACGGGUGAGUAACACGUGAGUAACCUGCCCUUCACUUUGGGAUAACUUCAGGAAACUGGGGCUAAUACCGUAUAGGAGCUCCUGCUGCAUGGUGGGGGUUGGAAAGUUUCGGCGGUUGGGGAUGGACGCGCGGCUUAUCAGCUUGUUGGUGGGGUAGUGGCUUACCAAGGCUUUGACGGGUAGCCCGCCUGAGAGGGUGACCGGCCACAAUGGGACUGAGAGAGGGCCCAGACUGCUACGGGAGGCAGCAGGGGGGAAUAUUGCACAAUGGGCGGAAGCCUGAUGCAGCAACGCCGCGUGCGUGAUGACGGCCUUCGGGUUGUAAACCGCUUUCGCCUGUGACGAAGCGUGAGUGACGGUAAUGGGUAAAGAAGCACCGGCUAACUACGUG
rnacentral:rRNA from 1 species